rnacentral:ncRNA from 11 species
CGUGGCCAAGCGGCCGGACACCAGGCUGAUAACCUGAAGGUCUCUGGUUCGAAUCCGGGCAG